GAAGUGCGAUAAGCAAUGCGAAUUGCAGAAUUCCGCGAAUCAUCAGAUCUUUGAACGCAAGUGGCGCCAGAGGGAUAUCCUUCUGGCAUGUCUGUUUCAGUGUCUGAGAGGUUUCACACUAACCUUAAUGUGAUUGAACUGAGUUAGUAACUUAGUUGCUAUAUUCUUUUCUCUCAUGAAAGAUGCGCGAGUGGAUCUUUCGGUCCAAUGAAGUGGUCACAUCACUCGAAUGUGAUUUCAUUGGAAGCACCGAAUUAUCAUUAAUAAACUCGUGGUAUCAUUUAUUGAAUGAUGGUAUAUAUCAUCAUCUCUCUCUACACCCUGCAUCUGAGACAGGCAAGAUCACCCGCUGAACUUAA
rnacentral:misc_RNA from 1 species